GGGCAAGGUGGCCAUUGUGCAGAGAAAGAGCAGCAAUCUCUUUGUAGGAUCAAUCGAGUCAAGAAAUGCCAGUUGCUCUAGUUUCUAUUAUAUGUAUCUAUUGUGGCCUUAGUCAUGGUGCCUAAGUUCAGAAAUUGGGGGGGGGCAUCAUAAAGUUUGAGGUCGAAGUUUGCUUCUCAACUAAUUAUGAGCAAAGACCAAACCCCAAGGAAGUUCAAGCGUAACUUAUAAUCAACUGGUGGAUACCACAACCCCCUUCCAUUUCCGCUUGGCAAUGGCAGCAGUCUAGACACCGAGGAUUCUGGGAGAUGUUGUUUUCUGGGUACCUGAUGGCCAUAUUGAGGAUUCAUGUCCCUUGUGUCUCCGUAUUUCCUUACACCCUGGGGCAUUGCUGUUGUAGCAACAUUCCAAACAUCAGGGAAGGAGGGAAGAAUGGAAGAAUGGAAGUCUCUCUGAUACUGCUAUUCCUGCCACUGCUAGGUAAGUUUUGGGAAAGGGAAGGGAGCAACAACAGGGCAGGGGACCACAGCCAGCUAGAAGGGGCAUUUGGAAACCACUUGGUUGGAUACUUGCAUUGACAACGAAACUCACAAAAAUGAUGGAGCAUGAGAUAAUAAAACGACAGUCUCAUCAUUGUAAGUGCAACAGUAUCCACAUUUUAGAACUGGGCUUGGGGGCUUGUUUUCGAAUUUUGGUGGGGAAUAAUUCAUUUUAACAAAGUCAAGAUGGAAGAACUUUGGCCAUUGCCAGUACAUGAUGAACACCAGAUUCUGGGGUGAGGAAGCUCAGAUUUAGGGGUCAAAUGCAGCCCUCUGAAACUCUCUUUCCUCUGGACUCUCCUCAGCCACACCUCUGUCAGCAGCAGGUUAGCAAGAACUCACAUGGCAUCAGUGAAGUUAAUUCUUUAUUCGAAGAAACAAGACAGCUCAGGCGGCCAGUCCUAGUGAGCACAGCAACUCUUCCUGGCAGAACUUAGAACAGCAAUAGGGCACAUCUGAGAGGUGCCGGGAAUGAGUUCUUGUGAGCUCCAGCUGAAAAAAAUCCCCUAUGGAUAGCAGUAAAAACAACGUCAUAUAAGCACCCUUUGGGUCAUUCUCUGUGUUCCCAUUGGACCAAGUUCAGUGCCCUGGCUUGUACUUCUUCCUGGUUGGAUGACAUUGUGUAUGGUUGUGACAUUAUACAGCCAAUUGGAUUUGACUGUUUGACACCACUGAGAGGCCAAGGAAGAGUGAUUUAGCUAGGGUUGCCAUAUUUCAAACAGUGAAAAUCCAGACAACUUUUUGGCCAAAGUUAUUGACCUGGGCUGCUAUACAUCCAGUUUUUCCCAGACGUUUAACAGAUUUCUACCCGGACACUGCUGUCAACCUGGACAUAUGGCAACCCUAAAUUUAGAAAUGAUGAUGAUGACGAUGGUGAUAACGUUUUAGCCAGGAAUGCAAAAAAGAAUCCUCAAAAGGGGGAAAACUGUUCAGCAUAAACAAAAAUGUUUGCAAAAACAAAUAAAUCCUAUUAGUAACUUUGACCCAACUCUAAUUAGGACCAGCCAAUGUGGCAUGUAAAUUUUCAAGUCAUGCAGAACUUGUCCUCAGACUAGAUUGUUGCUAGAAUUUGAAUUUCAAGUGAGUAAAAGCUAAACAAAAACAGCUCUCAGAAGUGGGAAGCUGCAGAAACAGGAGUUAAAAUGAAAGAGGCUUAUGUUCCUUCUACCACAUUUUUCCAUUUUGAAACACACACACCUAUAGAAGUACAUUAACCUGGAAAUUCUCUCAGGGCCUGAUGAAAAGUUGAAUUCCUGAACACCGGCAGAGUGAUCAUUUGUUCAUAAAUGCCAACAAUGGCAAUGCUGGUAUGUUCUGAAACAAAAGAGUUGAGGUCUACUGUAACAAUGCAAUACAUACCCCUUCCUAAAGGACAUGUCCUCCCUGUCAUUUUCCUCAUACACAAAACAAGAAUUUUCUUCAACAGGACCUUUCACUUUACAACAAGAAACUGUCCCAGCAAAAUAAGAAAUACUCUGCAUUCUCAGCCACUAUUACUGUUGUUGAUUAUUGUUGUUCUCAUUUCUGUCUCUCCCUUUGUGGUGAAUAGUCUCAUGUCAUUUCACCCAGUCAAAUCAGGACCGCAAUGCCUCAAGGACCGUCACUUCCCAUAUGAACCUACCUGGACCCUGAGAUCAUCUUCUGAGGCCCUCCUUCAUGUGUCUCCUCCUCGAGAGGUCCGGAGGGUGGCAACACAAGAACAGGGCCUUCUCUGCAGUGGCUCCUUGUCUGUGGAAUGCUCUCCCCAGGGAAGUUCGCCUGGUGCCUUCAUUAUACAUCUUUAGGGGCCAAGCAAAAAUGUUCCUUUUUAUCCAGGCCUUUGGUUGAUCUUAUUGACAACCAACACCCUUUUAGAAUUUUUUUUUUGGGGGGGGUUAUUGGGUUACUGCUUUUGGUUUGAUUUUAUAUGUCGUGG